AAGGGUUUUUUUUAAAAAUCUCCCAUCUGGCCGGGCGCCAUGGCGGCUGACGCUUGUAAUCCCAGCACUUUGGGAGGCCGAGGCGGGUGGAUCACGAGGUCAGGAGUUGGAGACCAGCCCGGCCAACACAGUGAAACUCCGUCUCUACUAAA